GUCUCUUCGCGUUAAACGAUCGCAGAACGAUUUAUUUCUCUUUUUCACCUCGAUCUUUGGCCUUGUGUGAUUUACCAAAACCAACAUGUGAAGUUACAACGCUGACGAAGGAGUUUCAUCAGUAGAGUGUGUCCUGGUAAAUGUGUGCUCGGAAACAUGCAGAUUACAGUAUUUACAGAGCCCACCUUGAGGCACCCACUGAUUGAUAAUCUGUUUACCUAAAAACAGCCCACCACAAUCCAUGUUUACCAGCUGUGAAAGUGCAGGCCAAAAAUCUUCCUUCACCUGUGGGCCUCUACCCACAUGUAGAUAA